rnacentral:rRNA from 1 species
UACGAAGGGGGCUAGCGUUGCUCGGAAUCACUGGGCGUAAAGCGCACGUAGGCGGAUUGUUAAGUCAGGGGUGAAAUCCCGGGGCUCAACCCCGGAACUGCCUUUGAUACUGAUAGUCUCGAGUCCGGAAGAGGUGAGUGGAAUUCCGAGUGUAGAGGUGAAAUUCGUAGAUAUUCGGAGGAACACCAGUGGCGAAGGCGGCUCACUGGUCCGGUACUGACGCUGAGGUGCGAAAGCGUGGGGAGCAAACAGG